rnacentral:rRNA from 1 species
UACGAAGGUCGCGAGCGUUAUCCGGAUUUAUUGGGUUUAAAGGGUGCGUAGGCGGGUUAUUAAGUCCGUGGUGAAAGCCUACAGCUCAACUGUAGAAUUGCCAUGGAUACUGUUGAUCUUGAGUAUGAUUGAGGUAGGCGGAAUGUGUCAUGUAGCGGUGAAAUGCUUAGAUAUGACACAGAACACCGAUUGCGAAGGCAGCUUACUAAGUCAUAACUGACGCUGAGGCACGAAAGCGUGGGGAGCAAACAGG